CCUACGGGGAGCUGCAGUGGGGAAUAUUGGUCAAUGGGGGGAACCCUGAUCCAGCCAUGCCGCGUGUGUGAAGAAGGCCCUCGGGUUGUAAAGCACUUUCAGUGAGGAAGAACGCCUGGUGGUUAAUACCCAUCAGGAAAGACAUCACUCACAGAAGAAGCACCGGCUAACUCCGUGCCAGCAGCCGCGGUAAUACGGAGGGUGCGAGCGUUAAUCGGAAUUACUGGGCGUAAAGCGCGCGUAGGUGGCUUGAUAAGCCGGUUGUGAAAGCCCCGGGCUCAACCUGGGAACGGCAUCCGGAACUGUCAAGCUAGAGUGCAGGAGAGGAAGGUAGAAUUCCCGGUGUAGCGGUGAAAUGCGUAGAGAUCGGGAGGAAUACCAGUGGCGAAGGCGGCCUUCUGGACUGACACUGACACUGAGGUGCGAAAGCGUGGGUAGCAAACAGGAUUAGAUACCCUUGUAGUC
rnacentral:rRNA from 1 species